rnacentral:rRNA from 1 species
UACGGAGGAUGCGAGCGUUAUCCGGAUUUAUUGGGUUUAAAGGGUGCGCAGGCGGAUUUUUAAGUCAGCGGUCAAAUCGUGGGGCUCAACCCCAUCCAGCCGUUGAAACUGGGGAUCUAGAGUGUGCGAGAGGUAUGCGGAAUGCGUGGUGUAGCGGUGAAAUGCAUAGAUAUCACGCAGAACCCCGAUUGCGAAGGCAGCAUACCGGCGCACAACUGACGCUCAGGCACGAAAGCGUGGGUAUCGAACAGG